AUCAGUGGCCAUAGCAAAGGGGAUCACCUGAUACCAUUCCGAACUCAGUAGUUAAGCCCUUUAGCGCCGAAGACACCAGAGAUGGGAAAAUAGGGAGCUGCUUUUU
rnacentral:rRNA from 1 species